GAUCCUGGCUCAGGAUGAACGCUAGCUACAGGCUUAACACAUGCAAGUCGAGGGGCAGCAUGUUGGUUGCUUGCAACCAACGAUGGCGACCGGCGCACGGGUGAGUAACGCGUAUCCAACCUGCCCUUGUCCAUCGGAUAACCCGUCGAAAGGCGGACUAACACGAUAUGCAGUCCACAGCAGGCAUCUGACGUGGACGAAAUGUGAAGGAGAAGGAUGGGGAUGCG
rnacentral:rRNA from 1 species